UGUACAAAUAAAUUUUAACUGAACAGUUGUUUGACAUGGGAUAAAUUUAUUUAAUAAAACAAAGCAAGCAGAUUGUAGUUACCCACAGUUUAUGAAGUGCAAUGUGACAAUCUUGUGUAAUAACUCUAAAUCUGUUUACACAUUAGUGCAUCUAGUCCUUUGACUUUAGUUAUUGCACAUAGAAAUUAAAUCAUAUAAAAGACCUGCGUACAAGACAUGCAGACUUCAUGAAAGGCAAAUAAUGCCUACAAAAUCAGAGCAAACCCCAGAAUAUACACAGCCUGGAAUGGUCAAGGAGGAGUUCAGGUGACAAAUAUAACCUACUAAUAUUUCAAUUAAAGGUAACCAAAAUAGGUGUUCAAAUAUAGAAUUAAUUUUAAAUAUAUUAAAUGCUAGUUUUCUUUUAUGUUUCAGGCAAGGUGCUGUUUAAAAAACCUUCAAUAUAAUAGCUUCAUUUAGAGAUGGUAAAUCAUCAAGUUACACAUGGAAAUUUUGAUUUACAUCAAAUGUGACAACACAACAUACAAAAAAGUUCUUAAAAAAUUACUUCUAAAAAAAAGCAAAUCAUGUUAUAAAAGGAGAGCCAAAACUCACCUUUCUUUGUAAACUAAAACAUUUUCUGACAUCCAUGAACAGUUGGCAACACUGAGUAUCAGAAAAAUAUUACAUGUGUUAAAUAGCAGAUAUGUAGUGUUCAAAUAUUGAAUUUACUGCAUACAUUUAGUCUUGAAUCAUUAUACCAGAUAGAAAUAAAAGGCAAUUCCCCCUCCCCCCUUCAUUUUGGCCAUUAAUUAGCAGAAACAGUCUUUAAUUACAUCGCGAUCAGCUUGAGUAACUGCAAUGCUUGAAUUCCUAUUCCACAAAGUCCAAAAAACCAAUGCAUGGGGGUCAAAAUCUUUCAGUCACAGCUGUUUUCACAAGCAUCAAGCGAUUUGAUGCCUGGAGUUGCACAGCUGUAAGGUGAGAAUUUGGUCCCAUGCUUUGCAUGUAAACACAGUGCAAUGGAAAAGACAGCAACAAACUCCUAUAAGAAAAAACUUGGUGUGUUUCAUUGUAGCAAGAGGCUCUAUGCAUGGUAGGGUAACUAAGUACUUCUGGUAGUGUGCAGUAUUAGACAUUUUAUGUGUGUGCUCAUGUCUUUAUAAACAUUCAGAAUUAAUCAUGAACCAAGGUGAUUGUACCUCACUAUAAGGCGGCUUGCUAUGGUUUGGUCUCAUGGCUUUACCAACUUUUUUCUCAUUUACAAAAAUCUGACAGUCCCACCUUCACUGAUAGUUGUGUGUGUUUUAUGGCUACUUGCUUCCC